GGCUGCUUUGCUUCGCCUGCCGCUAGCCAGCGCCGGAGUCCCGGGGCCGGAUGCCAUGGGUAACAACCUCUCCAGUGGCCCCUCUCUGCCGCGAGGAAACCCGAGUCGGGCGCCGCGGGGCCAUCCGCAGAACCUCAAAGACUCCAUUGGGGGUCCCUUCCCGGUCCCCUCUCACAGAUGCCACCACAAACAGAAGCACUGUCCGCCAGCGCUGCCCGGCGGGGGGCUCCCGGCCACGCCGCUGCUCUUCCACCCGCACACCAAGGGCUCCCAGAUCCUCAUGGACCUCAGCCACAAGGCCGUCAAGAGGCAGGCCAGCUUCUGCAAUGCCAUCACCUUUAGCAACCGGCCCGUCCUCAUCUAUGAGCAAGUCAGGCUGAAGAUCACCAGGAAGCAGUGCUGCUGGAGCGGUGCGCUGCGUCUGGGCUUCACCAGCAAGGACCCUUCGCGCAUCCAUCCUGACUCGUUGCCUAAGUAUGCCUGCCCCGACCUCGUGUCCCAGAGUGGUUUCUGGGCCAAGGCACUGCCCGAGGAGUUUGCCAACGAGGGCAACAUCAUCGCCUUCUGGGUGGACAAGAAGGGCCACGUCUUCUACCGCAUCAAUGAUUCCGCUGCCAUGCUCUUCUUCAGCGGAGUCCGCACGGCCGACCCACUCUGGGCCCUGGUGGACGUGUACGGUCUCACGCGGGGUGUCCAGCUGCUGGACAGUGAGCUGGUGCUGCCCGACUGCCUGAGGCCGCGCUCCUUCACCGCCCUGCGGCGGCCGUCGCUGCGGCGCGAGGCCGACGAGGCGCGCCUCUCCGUGAGCCUGUGCGACCUCAACCUGCCGGGCGCCGACGCGGACGAGGGCGCGCCGGCCGUCGGAGGCCCGAUCCCGCAGAACUCGCUCAACUCCCAGCACAGCCGCGCGCUGCCGGCGCAACUCGACGGCGACCUGCGUUUCCACGCGCUGCGCGCCGGCGCGCACGUCCGCAUCCUGGACGAGCAGACGGUGGCGCGCCUGGAGCAUGGGCGCGAUGAGCGUGCGCUCGUCUUCACCAGCCGGCCCGUGCGCGUGGCCGAGACCAUCUUCGUCAAGGUCACGCGCUCGGGCGGCGCGCGGCCCGGCGCGCUCUCCUUCGGUGUCACCACGUGCGACCCGGGCACGCUGCGGCCAGCCGACUUGCCCUUCAGCCCUGAGGCCCUGGUGGACCGCAAGGAGUUCUGGGCCGUGUGCCGCGUGCCCGGGCCUCUGCACAGCGGCGACAUCCUAGGUCUGGUGGUCAACGCUGACGGCGAGCUGCACCUCAGUCACAAUGGCGUAGCCGCCGGCAUGCAGCUGUGCGUGGACGCCUCGCAACCACUCUGGAUGCUCUUUGGCCUGCACGGCGCCAUCACGCAGGUCCGCAUCCUCGGUUCUACCAUCCUGGCAGAGCGGGUCAUCCCAUCACUUCCCUGCUCUCCAGCCUCCACACCCACUUCGCCCAGUGCCCUGGGCAGCCGCCUCUCUGACCCGUUGCUCAGCACAUGCAGCUCUGGCCCACUGGGAAGCUCUGCGGGAGGGACGGCCCCCAACUCUCCAGUGAGCCUGCCCGAGUCACCAGUGACCCCAGGUCUGGGCCAGUGGAGUGAUGAGUGCACCAUUUGCUAUGAACACGCUGUGGACACGGUUAUCUACACAUGUGGCCACAUGUGCCUGUGCUAUGCCUGCGGCUUGCGCCUGAAGAAGGCCCUGCACGCCUGCUGCCCCAUCUGCCGCCGCCCCAUCAAGGACAUCAUCAAGACCUACCGCAGCUCCUAGCACACCCUGCUGGCUGCGGGGUGGAGAGGCAUCCUCCAGUGGUGGACAAGAGCAGGCGCUGGCAUGUCAGGAUGCGGGUGCCCAGCCCUCCUUGUCGCCAAUCUGCACGUACCACCAGCCUCCUGAGUUUUUAUCAAUGACCUGGAGGGAAGAGGGCAAACAGGUUGCUGAUCUCCAUGAUGUUCCCGAUGAUCUCCACUGGGCCUGCCAGGUUCUUCUUCCGGGUGGCCCUCCAGGUUCUUCCGGAUCACCUCCACAGUGACGCCUUUCUCAAAGCUGAUCUCGUCCUUGCUUUGGCUGGUGUAUGGCUGCACGGUGACAUACUUCUCCUCUGUGGGAACUCACACAUCAUGAUCUACCAUGCACAGAGAAGGCAGCCCAGGGCGGCAUCACUGAAGCCCAGGCUACAGCAGGGGCAGGUACAGCCCAUCCCCUCCUGCCUGGACUGUGAUGGUUCAGCUCCUGCUCUGACCCAAGUGAGUAGCUCACCAGCGAGGCAGCCUGAGGACCAAGUCAGCAAAAUAGCAGUCCAGCUGAGAGUAAAAGCACCAGUGCGAGCAAGUCAGACAUGGAGAGUAUGAGUCAGCCACGAUCUGCGUCAUGUCAGCUCCUGGCUCCAGGUGUGCUCAAGCUGGACCAUCCUGCUGGUCUUCCCACUUGUCAUGAGUCAAAGAACUUUCUGUUCUGUUUACUUCACCCAAAGCUGAGCUUCAGUCAUUUGGACACAGAACAACCUUGCUCCUGCUACACCCUUUCCCCAUGCCAACAAUCACUGAGUCUAGGGAAUAAACACCAAGUGGGCACCUGU